rnacentral:rRNA from 2 species
GAGUUUGAUCGUGGCUCAGAUUGAACGCUGGCGGCAUGCCUUACACAUGCAAGUCGAACGGCAGCACGGGGGCUUGCUCCUGGUGGCGAGUGGCGAACGGGUGAGUAAUGCAUCGGAACGUAUCCUGGAGUGGGGGAUAACGUAGCGAAAGUUACGCUAAUACCGCAUAUUCUGUGAGCAGGAAAGCGGGGGACCUUCGGGCCUCGCGCUCUUGGAGCGGCCGAUGUCGGAUUAGCUAGUUGGUGAGGUAAAGGCUCACCAAGGCGACGAUCCGUAGCAGGUCUGAGAGGAUGAUCUGCCACACUGGAACUGAGACACGGUCCAGACUCCUACGGGAGGCAGCAGUGGGGAAUUUUGGACAAUGGGGGCAACCCUGAUCCAGCCAUGCCGCGUGAGUGAAGAAGGCC